rnacentral:rRNA from 1 species
ACGAAGGUGGCAAGCGUUGUCCGGAUUUAUUGGGCGUAAAGGGCGUGUAGGCGGUCUGCUAAGUCAGAGGUGAAAAUCCAGGGCUCAACCCUGGAACUGCCUCUGAAACUGGUGGACUUGAGUGCUCUAGAGGGCAGUGGAAUUCCCGGUGUAGCAGUGAAAUGCGUAGAGAUCGGGAGGAACACCAGUGGCGAAGGCGACUGUCUGGUUGGAUACUGACGCUGAGACGCGAAAGCGUGGGGAGCAAACAGGA